CGCAGUAGCGUCCGCGGCGGUGGCGGCGGCGGCGGCGGCAGCACGGGCCGCGGCGGCGAGGUCCGCGGCGUCCCCCAGCCGGAAGGUCCGGCAGCCUCAGGCCGCCUGAGGCCUCCCGCGUCAUGUCGGCCCAGGGCGACUGCGAGUUCCUGGUGCAGCGAGCCCGCGAGCUGGUGCAGCAGGACCUGUGGGCCGCCAAGGCUUGGCUGAUCACGGCCCGCAGCCUCUACCCCGCAGACUUCAACAUCCAGUAUGAGAUGUACACCAUCGAGCGGAACGCUGAGCGGACGGCCACCGCCGGGAGGCUGCUCUACGACAUGUUUGUGAAUUUCCCAGAUCAGCCCGUGGUGUGGAGAGAAAUCAGCAUUAUUACAUCAGCAUUAAGAAACGAUUCACAGGAUAAACAAACCCAAUUUUUAAGAAGUUUAUUUGAAACUCUUCCUGGUCGGGUCCAGUGUGAAAUGUUACUAAAGGUUACGGAACAAUGCUUCAACACUUUGGAACGAUCAGAAAUGUUGCUUCUACUUUUGAGACGAUUCCCUGAAACGGUGGUACAGCAUGGGGUUGGCCUUGGGGAGGCACUGUUGGAGGCUGAAACUAUUGAAGAGCAAGAAUCUCCUGUUAACUGCUUUAGAAAAUUAUUUGUGUGUGAUGUCCUUCCUCUAAUAAUUAACAACCAUGAUGUUCGGUUGCCCGCCAAUUUGUUGUAUAAGUACUUGAACAAAGCAGCUGAAUUUUAUAUCAAUUAUGUCACUAGGUCUACUCAAAUAGAGAGUCAGCAUCAAGGUACCCAGGAAACGUCUGAUUUAAUGUCACCGAGCAAACGUAGCUCUCAGAAGUACAUAAUAGAGGGGCUGACUGAAAAAUCAUCCCAGAUCGUGGACCCUUGGGAGAGGUUGUUUAAGAUUUUGAAUGUUGUUGGAAUGAGAUGUGACUGGCAGAUGGAUAAAGGAAGACGAAGCUAUGGUGAUAUUUUGCAUAGAAUGAAGGAUCUCUGCAGAUACAUGAACAACUUUGAUAACGAAGCUCAUGCAAAAUAUAAAAACCAAGUGGUUUAUUCCACUAUGUUGGUCUUCUUUAAGAAUGCAUUUCAGUAUGUCAACAGCAUACAGCCGUCUCUAUUCCAAGGUCCUAAUGCCCCUAGCCAAGUUCCACUGGUUCUUCUGGAGGACAUAUCAAAUGUAUACGGUGAUGUAGAGAUCGAUCGCAAUAAACACAUACAUAAAAAGAGGAAACUAGCUGAGGGAAGAGAAAAAACCAUGAGUACAAGCUCCACGGGGCCAGUGGCAGUGUCUGGGCAUCCAUCUGAACGGUGCCUGCACCCCAGCAGGCCUUCGAGUUCAGACGAUGAAGACUGUUCAGCAAAAGGAAGGAAUCGUCACAUUGUUGUCAAUAAGGCAGAACUUGCUAACUCCAUCGAGGUGUUGGAAAGCUUUAAGCUGGCCAGAGAGAGCUGGGAGCUGCUCUAUUCCCUGGAAUUCCUUGACAAGGAAUUUACAAGAAUUUGUUUGGCGUGGAAGACGGAUACUUGGCUUUGGUUGAGAAUCUUCCUCAACGAUGUGAUCAUCUAUCAGGGUCAAUAUAAAAAGGCCAUAGCCAGCCUGCACCACUUGGCCGCUCUCCAGGGACCGCUUCCUCAGCCACAGAUCUCGGGACAGGGGACCUUGGAGCAUCAGAGGGCGCUCAUCCAGCUGGCGACCUGCCACUUUGCCUUGGGGGAGUACAGAAUGACGUGUGAGAAAGUCCUUGAUUUGAUGUGCUACAUGGUCCUCCCCAUCCAGGAUGGAGGCAAGUCACAGGAAGAACCCUCAAAAAUAAAGCCCAAGUUUAGAAAAGGUUCAGAUCUGAAGCUGCUGCCUUGUACCAGCAAGGCUAUCAUGCCCUAUUGCCUGCAUUUAAUGUUAGCUUGUUUUAAGCUGAGAGCCUUCACAGACAGCAGAGACGACCUGGCGCUGGGGCACGUGAUCGUGCUGCUUCAGCAGGAGUGGCCGCGGGGAGAGACCCUUUUCUUGAAAGCCGUCAAUAAGAUUUGCCAGCAAGGAAACUUCCAAUAUGAGAAUUUUUUCAAUUAUGUUACAAAUAUCGACAUGCUGGAGGAGUUCGCCUACCUGAGAACUCAGGAAGGUGGGAAGAUCCAUCUGGAACUCCUGCCCAAUCAAGGGAUGCUGAUCAAUCCUCAUUGCAGUUUGGACAGUACAUCCUCUGUGCUGCAGACGCCUCGCGUAGUGUGAUGUCCAUACCUCCUCCUCUGCGUCCUGCACGUUCAGCGUGUGUGGGUCAGGAUCAGAGUCACUGCAGGAGACCGAACCCCGAGUGAGAAGAAAGUGUUGCUGAGGCUGACAGAUUCUCCUUUUUCCCUCACUUGUGAAAGGGACGAGUUUUCAGCGCAAAGCCAAAAUCCGCAUCUCGUGCUGUCUUUGGGGAGUGUUGUCGAGAGGGAAGUAAGAAGUGUCCCUCUGGACUCCCGUAGCCUCGGGGCUGGGGCAUCCAGGCAGCACGGUGUCCUGUCGGGAAUGGGAAGGUGGGGUGCUUGUCCUUCACCUUGCAAACGUUACUAAAGAUUCUGAGCAUUUGACAUGAAAGCGCAAGACCUUUAUACGUUAGCUGGCUCAGGCAAGGGGACCAGACAUGCUCAUCUUCUCACUCUGGUAGCUCCCCUGGAACGUGGGGAAAAUAAUUGCGUGAUUCAAAAUAUUCUUCACCAUGCUUGAGAGUAAAGAUGGCUUUUUGACACGGAAGCCUAGGUAACCCCUUUUACGUUGUAAUUUGCAGGUUGUGAGGCUGGACACACAAACAUACCUUUAAUAGCUUUUUCUUUAAUUCCCAUUAAUGCUCACCAUACAAAUUGUCAUAAUACGGAGACAACCUCAGUAGAAUCAACUCCAUUUACUUAGAUUAAACCUGAGUUUAAUAAUCCUCACACUAGAUAAUGCUUAGCUGUGAAUGUGAGAGAAGAGGCUGUCAGAAAAUCAGCGGCACCACACGGUCACCCGGGGCAUCACCAAGGGCGUGAAGGAGGACUUCCGCCUGGCCAUGGAGCGCCAGGUGUCCCGCUGUGGGGAGAACUUGACGCUGGUGCUGCACAGGUUCUGCGUCAACGAGAAGAUCUU